rnacentral:tRNA from 1 species
UAAACUUUAAGUUAAAAAAACUAUAAUUCUUCAAAAAUUAAAUUAUUUUUUAAGUUUAA